rnacentral:lncRNA from 1 species
AAUUUGAAGUGCCUGACUGGGUGGCCGGGAGACGGAGUCUCGGGGUCGCGUGCACCUGGGCGGCCAGGGAGGCUCCAGUGCCCGGGAGAAAGGCAAGAAAACUGAGGCACAGAGAGAUUGUCACACAGCCAGUAAGUUGACUGCAAGGCCUCUGAGGCACGGGAAUUCACAGCUGAGUUCUUGGAGAAGGUCCUUGAGCCAUCUGGAUGGCGGACAGUCUGGCACAUGAUGUGCUCAAGGUGCUGCUUGAGGCCACAGAUGUGGACAUUUCAGCCUUGAAGGCAGUGGUGCAGCUUGCUGAGCCAUACCUCUGUGAAUCUUGAGCGAGUACUUUCACCUUGGAGUGUGUGAAAGAGCUCCUCGAGCUGAAGGAACAUCAGUUGCCCCUGAAGGAGCUGGGUGGUGUUUGAUGAUUCUGGAGACAGCACUUGUAACUUGUAACUGAGCAUGUCAGCUAGGAAGGAGGUAUCUGGUCAGAGAAGGUGUUUUCUGAGGCUGCUUCCUGGAUCCCUAGGGUUUGUGUUCCUGCCAUUCAGCCUAUUUGGCAGUUAUUUCCACCUGUACAAACAGACCCUUUGUCCCUUACAUGAGAAAGAAAGCCCACACCUGGAUUCAUAUUAAUAGAUAUUCAUCCAUCUAAGACUUAUUGAGCACCUACUGUGUGCCAGGCACUGCUCUGGGAACUGCAGCCACGUGAACAAAGCCAUGUAAAUAAAGCUGGGACAGAACACAGUUCAGCUUUGCCUUCUACUGACAGGUGGCAAGUCCUCAGGUGUGUAAUAUCAUUUUCACUGGCCAACAGUUACAUUUUUAAUAGCACUUAGGAAUUUAAUAUGCUUCUAAGUGAAGGGACUUUUUUGUGUGGAUCUACCUAAUUGUUUUUAUCGGUUGUUUAGUAUUCCAAUAUAUAGAUGAACUCUGAUUUAUUUAUCUACUCUUUGAUGAACAUUAGGCAAAUUUUCACUAUUAUAAAACAUUUUAACAAUACACAUGCUAAAACAAACACUUUUACCCAUGCAUGACUGUACACUUAGCUGAUUAUUUUCUUAGAACCUGUGUGGGAAGAGGUAUCCUGCUAUACUGGUAGGAGUAUGAUUUUUUAGAUGAGGUGAAAUUCAUAUAACAUACAAUUACCAUUUCAAAGUGUACAAUUCAGUGUCGUUUAGGAUAUUCACUAAAUGUUGUGCAAGCAUCAAUUGUCUCUAGUUUCAAAACUUUUUUAUUAAUUCCAGAAAAACACCCUGUACCCAUUAAGUAACCACUCGUUAUUUCUGCCUUCUCCACCUCCUGGUAACCACUAAUCUGCUUUCUGUCUCUGGAUUUGCCUGUUCUUGAUAGAGCAUCUAAACGGAAUAAUGCAGUAUGUACCCUUUUGUCACUGGCUUCUUUCACUUAGCAUAAUGUUUUUGAGGUUCUUCCAGGUUGUAGCAACCCACGUUGAUACCCCAGGAAAGUAUCUAUUAGUGCUUUAUUUCUUUUUGUGGCUGAGUAAUAUUCUACUGUGUGUGUGUGUGUGUGUGUGUGUAUGUAUGUGUGUGUGUGUAUAUAUACACACGUAUAUGUAAUUCAUAUAUAAUAAAAUUCUUUUAAAGUAUGCAUGUAUAUAUACACACACACACACAAAAGUAUUUUAAUUUUCUAAAAAGAAUUUUAGGCCAGGUAUAGUGGCUCAUGUCUGUAAUACCAGCACUUUGUGAGGAGAAGGCAGGAGGAUCACUUGAAGUCACAAGUUUAAGACCAGCCUGGGCAACAUAGCAAGACCGUGUCUCCACAGAAAAAAAGUAAAAAUAAUUAGAAGGGCAUGGUGGUAUGCACCUGUAGUCCCAGCUACUGGGGAGGCUGAGACAGGAGGGUCACUUGAACCCAGGAGUUCAAGGCUGCAGUGGGCCGUGAUUGCACCACUGCACUCCAGGCAGGGUGACAGAGUGAAACCCUGUCUCUAAAAAAAAACAAAAAAUAUGUUUUACUUUGGCGGUGGACCCUUAUAGUUAAAUGCUUAAUGAUGGCUUUUAGAAAAUGGAAUAGCUCUUGUAAUGGUUAGUUCACUCUAUUAGUUCACUAUCAUAUGCUUCAGCAUAUAAUAAAUAUAGAGUUAAAUCUGAAUUUAACACAUGAACGCCUUCUGUAUUAGUUUCCUAGAGUUGUCAUGACAAAGUACCAUAGACUGGGUGGCUUAAACCACAGAGGUUUAUUUUCUCACAGUCGUGGAGGCUGGCAGUCUGAGAUCAAGGUGUUGACAGGGUGGUUUCUCCCAAGGCCUCUCUUACUGGCUUGUAGAUGUCGUCUUUUCCCUGUCCUUUACGUAGUCUUUCCCCUGUUCCUGUUUGCAUCCUAAUCUCUUCUUAGAAGGGCACCACUCGUAUCAGAUUAGGGCCCAACCACAGGACCUCAUUUUACGUAGUUACCUCUUUAUUAAAGGCCCUAUCUCCAAACACAGUCACAUUCUAAGGUACUGGGAGUUAUAACUUCAACAUAAGAAUUUUGUGGGGGAGACAGUUCAGCCCAUAAUACCUGCCUAAUGUACAUAGCUAUUGGAAGCCAGAUAGAAUUUAUUAAAAGUUUGAUACUACAAAAUGUUUCAAAAGUAAUAUUUUUACCAUUUUCAGGGCCAUAAUACUUAACCUCAAACCAUCUACUUCAAGGUGUUGCUAAAUUGGGCAUGAUUUAUUAAAUAUAUAUCUUAUUAAUGAUUACUGUAUUGUUUAUGAUGAUGAGAUAAAUUUGUCAAGUAGGUUAACCACCUCCUACCAUAUAUGUUCUGCCCUUAUUUUCUUUUUAUUAAAAUGUAGUUCAUAUAUCAUAAAAUUCUUUUAAAGUGUUCAAUCCAGUGGUUUUUAGUAUAUUCACAAAGGAGUGCAGUCAUCAGCACUGUUUAAUCCCAGAACAUGUCGAUCACCCCAAAAGAAACCUGUACUUCUAGCAGUCAUUCUCAUUCCACUCUCCUUCCUGCAGCCCUGACAGUUACUAAGCCAACUCCUGUAUCCAUGGAUUUGCCUCUUCUAGACAUUUCAUAUAAAUGGAAUCAUACAAUAUGUUGUCUUUUAUGUCCAGCUACUGUCUCAGCAUUUUUUAAGGUUCCUUCAUAUUGUAGCAUGUAUCAGUGCAUUAUUCCUCUUUAUAUGUGAAUAUUCCAUUGUGUGCAUGUACCACAUUUGGUUUAUCCAUUCACCUGUUGAUGGAUAUUUGGUUUAUUUCCACUUUUUGGCUAUUAUGAAUAAUGCUGCUAUGAAUAUAUAUGUACAAGUUUUUCUCUGGCCAUAUGUUCUCAGUUCUCUUGGGUUUAUACCCAGGCGUGGAAUUGCUGGGAUCAUAUGGGAAUUCUCUGUUUAGCUUUUGGAAGAACUGCCAGAAUGUUUCCCAAAGAGAUUGCACCAGUUUACAUUCCCACUGAUUUCUUCCCAUCUUUGCCAACACCUGGCAAUUGUCCAUAUUUCUUACUGUAGCCAUCCUAGUGUGCCUGCCUUUAUUUUUAAUUUGAAUGGCAAAACCUUAAGCAGUUUGGUGUGGUGGCUCAUGAAUGUCAUCCCAGCGCUUGACAGACUGAGGUGGGAGCAUACCUUGAGGCCAGGAGUUUAAGUUGAGUCUGGGCAACAUAGCAAUACACUGUACAAAAAUUAAAGAGCCAGGUGUGGUAGCUCAUGCCAGUAAUAUCAAUGCUUUGGGAGGCCGAGUUGGGGUAAUCACUUUAGGCCGUGAGUUUGAGACCACCCUGAGCAACAUAGAGAGAGCCCGCCCUCUACAAAAAAUUAAAACAUUAGCCUAGUAUGGUGGUAUGUGCCUAUAGUCCCAGCUACUCAGGAGGCUGAAGCAGGAGGAUUGCUUGAGCCCAGGAGUUCCAGGCUGCAGUGAGCUAUGAUUACACCACUGCACUCCAGCCUGGGUGACAGAGCAAGACCCUGUCUCAAAAUUAAAUAAAUAAAAACUUAAAAAAAAAAAGUUGUUUACAGGCACUGUGGAGGUGAGCAUGUGACUUCCGAUUUGGAAGGCUGGCUGCUCUGUCUUCUGUCUUUCUCUGGAGGACCUAUGCUAUCCUUGUUUCCUCUUUUCCCACUAUUCCUUUGUGAAUUUUUGGUUUUCAGCAAACAGUUCAGCUCCUGCCCUUAGAGGCUGGUGAGAGUCAUUUCAAGUUAACACUUCCUUCUUCUACAUCUUCCUGGCACUGUCGCUCUGCCUUGUGCAGCCUUAAGUUAGGCAUUAAAUCAGGGUGUUUUGACUCUUUGUUGCGUUUUUCUCUGAGUCAGUAGGGAAUAUACCCUUUUCUACUUCACCCCUCUCCCAAUUACAUGGUUUACUAUUGAUUUUUUUCCCUCCUCCUUCUAGGCAUAGAUAGUACUUGCAACUCUCCUUUUAACAACAAAUCAAUUCCAGCAUCUUAAUGUUAUAGAGUUGGGAGCACAGUUGAGUUUAAAACUUUUUUCACUCCCUCCACUGCCCCAGUUUCUCUGUUUAAAAAGCUCGAGUCAUCCAUGAUUGAUGGAGGACAUUAGGGAGAGAAGUUAGCACCAUUUUGAUUUAUUUUGUUUACUUUGAAAAUAGUUUUCUCACUUGUCAAAUGGAUUAAUUAUGAGGAACAAAUUGUGCAACUGGGUGCAGAGGAAGGUGAAGGAAAGCCAGAGUUCAGAGUCUUCUGGGUGAAGAGCCCCUGCCCUCGCCGACCCUUCAUCGUGCCUGGUGCCCUGUGCUGUGGUGUGAGCUGCUGGUCAUGGGGCCCUGCCUUGUGGAGAGUGCUUCCUGUCAGGAGGUGGUGGGACUGGGAAGGAAAACUGUGGAACCUGAAAAACUCUACUGGAAGCUAUGGAGUAAAUGUGGGCUGGGGAGGGAGAGCCUCAAGGGAUCAGUGAGACAAGGCAGGGGAGAGGGAAGCAUACAGAAAACAUGAAGGUGAGUCAUGAGGUUUGUGAAGCUUGUUUUUCUGCUCAGAAAUACACUCAAGACAAACAUGAGAAAGGCUAGUCUUGGAAGCCGAAGCAAUUUUCCUUCUUUCUCAGGCCCAAUCCCAGCGUUCACAUGGGCAGGGGAACAAGGGGUGGAUCAGGGAGGGAGGAACCUCCAUGCCACGGACAGGCAAUGUGAAAGCAGGCCCAGCAGCCUCGGUGAUGCCCCUCCCUCCCUCACGGCCUGUGGACAGUCCUUGUCUGAUGGUCAGGGGACUCUCAGUAAAUGCACUGAGGGUGGGUGCUUGGAAACAUUGAGCGGGGAAGGGACUGACUAACCGGGAGCUGAGCAGAAUGGCUGGUUCUCCCAUGAGUCCUGGCAGGGUGGGCACUGCAUGGUCAAGUGUGCCUGCACUCUGGGAGGGCCUGUGUUCCUUCUCAAUGACUUCACAGCAAUCCACAGACUCAAGUUAAUACCCAGGUAGCCCCCGACCCUAAGAACAGGGCAGCAAGCUUAGACAAGAUCACCCAUGGGUGCCAGACAAGCCAGUUACUGCCCACUUUGGGGUAGGAGGUAUACUUAAAAGACAGGGUUACUCUGGGCAACUAUUUUGUUCUCUUUUAAACAUUAACUUUAAAAAAUUACUCAAGUCAUAUAUGUGAUGUUUGUAAAAUAAGAAAAUGUUGCUGAGAAAAUAAAAAUCUUCCACAAUGUCACUCCUCUGAAUAUUUUGAGAUUUAACUGUCUGGAUUUCUUCGAGCUUAUGAAUGUACAGGUAAAAAUCAAUGACAAUGCGAUCAUACUGGUCCAUACCAUUUCACUCAACAGCACAUUCUAGAUUUCUUGUAAAUCAUGUCACCUUCUCAUGGGCUCGUGCCCCAUGCCCCAGUAGAUGAAUGCGUCAUUAUCCCCUGUGGCUGGACAGUUAGGUUGUUGCCAGCCUUUCAGCUUUGCAAAUGGCACUAUAAUGAACCUCACUGCAGAUAAAUUCCAUUUCCAGAGAUUAAGGAAAUAAUUAAAGACAAGUGCAAAAAAAAAAAAAGAUACACUUUUAAGUCUUUGAAUACAUCUCACCAGAUUACCUGAAAAAGUUUUUGACAGUCCCUCCACCCCAGCAGAUGUCUGUGAGUGAGAGUGCGACUGAGGACUUCAGAGGAAGAUGCCUAGGGAUCUUGCCAUCUAGGACAUAUGUUCGUAUGUUUUGUAAGAGAUUACAGUCUUCCUGUCCUCUGUCUGGCACAAAUGGAAACAAAAACACAACAAUAGCAAUAAAACCAACUUAAAAUUGGAUGUUUAAUUAAAACAAGUUCUUUUUUUGUUGGGGAUGAAGAUCUGCUUUAUCCAGUGUUAACAUCUUUACUAGAAGAAGAGAGGUUUUAAUUAGAUUUUGACAGUGGUGUCAGUUUAGCCUCUUUGAUCUUGAAAACGCUGUUUUUAGAGGAGGAUGGGGUAGAGGUGGCCAGGCCCAGCAAGGGAGAGCAGGCUCUCCCAUGUAUGCCUUCAAGGGCUUCCUUAAAGAGCCUGCCCUGAUUAAACAAAGUGAACCAGCACCGCCCCAGUCACUCUAGAUUAGACUUCUGUUUAAUUGUCUCAUUAGUGCUUCCCAGUCAGCAGAAUUUGGCUCAUGUAUUGAAAAGAUAAAUUCAGAUUAAAUAGAGGCUCUAGUGCCUUCAUCUAGAACCUUGCCUGAUGCAGAGUAAUCAACCAAUAAAUUGUUGAAAGAAUGAAUGAAAACCCAUUCAUUCAGAUAUAUUUUUGGUCUUUGUUGACUUUCUUUGCUAUGGUUGAUGCAGGGAUGGAGUAGGCCCCUUUUCCAAAAUAGGUGUGAAAGCAGUCUGACCUAGAAAUUUCCAAGAUCAUGGAAAAUCGUCUUUCUUUUAAAACAUUUAUGUCUGGGCUCUGCCCUCUGGGUACAAAAUUCUUGAGGUGUUCUUGUAUCCGGUCUUUCCUCAACCUCAGCACCUCAGAAGUCCUGUGCAUCUUGGGCCGCAACGUGAAGAAGUGACUCUGCAAGUUGGGCUUUGGACCUAUCUGCAGGGCAGCAGCACUCAGGAGAAUGACCACACAGUGCUGUUGUGAUAAGACCAUCUCUGAAGAGGAAAACCUUCAAGUGCUGACAAUUUUGAGCUGCAAGGGUAUACUUAGAAUGUUGAUGAAGUGUUUUGUGCUGUGAAUGCUGUCAUGCCCCAUAGUCAUGAACAGAGACCUUCACAGGUGUGAGGAGAGACCUGACAAAAGGCCCUGCUUGUUUUCACCAGGUCCUCAGACACUCCGAGGAACCGGAUUAAUCUUGUCGGGGUCAAACUUCAAGGGCAGAGGGCUAAUUGCUUUCUCUUACCUGGUGGGAUCAGAUGAUAAAACCAAAUUGGAGUGGAGAUGGAUGGAAGAGGUGGGAAUGGCUCAACAUCAUGAUGGAGAGUAGCAUGUUGGUCACAUGGAGGCAAAUAGAUUUUUAAUAAGGAAAAAUAAUUACCAGUGAGUGAAGUGUCUGACUUUCCUGAAGAUUUAAGCCACCUUGAGACCAGAAUGAGAAACAGCUGGCAAACAUUUUAAUCAAGGCAAGGAAGCUGUUCUGCCCUCCAAAGAAGAAACUCUUUCAUCAAAACCCUGUUGCCUUGUUUAUUAAGGGAAGUAAGAAAUGAUUUGGCCACUGGGAGUAACUGCAGCAGCUUCAGAGAAGCCCACCCAUGUGUGAAAAGACUGGUGCACCUGAGAAGCAAGGCAGAAGCCUGGGAACAUUUUAGAACCAGAUGCCACCCAAACUGCACGAUGCGGUGAUGAUAAAGACUGCAGGGGCCUGGGGCAGGUCAGUAGGCUGGGGGCAGUAGGGGUCUGUGCCCCAAGAGGCAGGGACCGGAGGCUCUUUGGUGGAGGGCCAACCCCAGGCAGAGCCUGUCAUGGCUGCAGACUUCCCAUGAACCUGGAUGCAGGACUAGCAAGUGGGCAUCAUAGGUGACUGAUUAAGGGCUUUGUCCAGAUGGCCACCAAGGAUCCAUUUCUGGGUCUUUCUCUGGCUCAAGAAACCUUUUCACUACAGAACUGCACUGGUAACUGCCCUUCUUAGGCACACAGUACGUGAAUGCAAGUGUCUUGUUAAGGCAGGGGAAAUUAUCGUGAUUUAUUUUCUCAUUUGUUUUCUCUUUUUCAAUUCUGGCAUUGUAACAGGGAACACAGCUCAAUCAAGGUUCGGCAGCUGAGAAAAUCAGAGAAGGUGGGGUGUGGCCUGGAGGAAUUUCCUGCAGAGGGGUAAAUGGCAGGCCAACCCCAUCUGGGUCUUUCCCAUGCCCAAGAAACUCUUUCAGCAAAGCCUGCUCAUUUCCUUCGGGAUCUUCCCUGCCCUGAUAAUCUCUCCAUCCGUCCCUCCUUUCUAAAACCAGUAUUUUCGUUCAUUCUUUCAUUCAAGAUAUAUUUUCCUGUUUGGGAAUUUUCAUCCAUGCGUUGUCCAUCUUCCCACCCAUCCCACAAACAUUAGAGCAGAGCCGUUUUUGUGGGGGUCUCUGUACCCAGAAUUGGAAUCACACCUUGAAUAAAACAUGGAAUUUGUUUCUUCCCUUAAGGAGCUCAACGUUAUUUGGUUGAAUACGUUCUCAUUUAAAACCUCUACCAUUCCCAGAAAACUUAUUAAAGAUAUGAUUAAAGAGAUAAUCACAUAACCUUACUUAGUUAUUGAAUAAGCUUUUUUCCUGGUCCUGAACACAUGAGUGACGAAGGCUUCUUGAAGACGGUUCACUUGGCUGUGAACAGUGCUGCAAUGCUCAGGAACAAGGCUCAGUGCUCAAGGGUGGGAGCUGUCACCACAUAGGUAACACCUACUCUUUUUGUUCCUUGAUAGCUUGGCUCAGGAAGGAUGAUGGUCUGCGAAAUUGACAUUAGAAUGUCUGCAGAAAAUCCCCGGAUGAGGGAAAAAUCAACAUGAUCCAAUGCUGAACUAGUUUAGGCCUGUGCUAUUGCUGGCGAAUGGAUGCCACUACUGAGCACAACCCUGUCUCCAGAAACAUCUAGUUAUGACCCCUCUCAAUCUCUAUCUACAAGAUGAAGGCUUUUGACCUGGUCUAUGUCCACUCCAUGCUGAUGACUUAUACAAGUGGCUGUGGCUCAAGACAAGCCAACCACAGGGGACAGACAGCAGGUGCACAAGCUUGUAAGAGUAGAAAUGAAAAAGAACCCCUUAACUCAAUUUGGAGAAGUGAAUACUUGAACCCUGAGCGUCUUUGCAGUGACGCCAGCUCAAAUCAGGGCAGGCACUUUCUGUGGGAGGCUAACCCUUGUUUGCCAUCUUGCUUUCCACUUGCAUAUGGAAGUAACAUGCACUGGGGUAGAGGGCGUGGAGACAAGGGACUUGCUACAUUUGUUCUGACGGCAAUGUGAUAUAAUCACCCAUCUCAUCUGAGACUGAGUCAUAUUUUAUAUGAAAGACAAGUUCUUUCUCUUUAUAAAAUGCAAUUAUACAUAAAUAGUUCAUGUCAUCUGCUCUUGAAAUUUUAGCAGCAGGACUUAAUGCUGCUGGUUACCAUGGUAACAGGCAAAGUUGGUGAUAUUGAAUAUUACUGUAUUAAGUUCCUCUGCGUGUGUGUGUGUGUGUAUGUGUGUCUGUGUGUGUGUUUUAAUGGCUGUGUUGCAUAUAGGGGAUAGUUUUUUCCAGACUACAGUGUCAGAAAAGUCAGAACAUGAGACUGUCACCGAUGUGUCAAGUGAAUACAUUGGAAAAGUCGAGCCCAGCACAGAUGCCUUUCAUUUCUUGCUCAUAUCCUUUAUUUCUUGCACCCAUCCCUCCCUGCCAAUUUUAUUAAGGUAUAAUUGACAAAUAAAAUUAUAUAUCUUUACAGUGUACAAUGUGAUGUUUUGAUACAGUAUACAUUGUGAAAAUAUUAAAUCAAGCUAGCACAUUUUUUGCAGUGAGAACAUUUAAGAUCUAUUCUCUUAGCAGUUUCCAAGUAUACAUUAUUAUUGUACAUUCGGUGCAAUAGAUCUGCAGAACUUACUCAUGCUGUCUACCAAACUUUGUUUACUUUGAGCAACAUCUCAUUUUGCUCCCCCAUCCCCAGUACCUGGCAAACACCAUUCUUUGCUUUUGUGAGUUUGAAAUUUUAUUUCAUUUAAAAAAAUUUUAAUUUUUGACACUGGUGGUAUAUGUGCUUGUUUGUUACAAGGGUAUUGCCUGCAUAAUGAUAGAAAUUGGGCUUCUAGUGUUUCCAUCACCCAAAUAUUGAACACCGUAUCCAACAGGUAAUAUUUUAGUCCUCACUCCCCUUCCACCCUCCUUCCUUUUAAGAGUUUCUAGUGUCUGUUUGCAUGAUAUUUGCAUGAUCUCAUUUUCUACCCUUUUACUUUGAGUCUGAAUGUGUCUUUAGCCAGUAGGUGGGUCUUUUUUAGACAGCAGAUGGUUGCAUCUUAUUUUUUUUAUAACCCAAUUUGCCACUCUGUAUCUUUUAAGUGUACAAUUUAGGUCAUUUACAUUGAAAGUUAAUGUUGAUAUGUGAGGUUUUGCUCCUGUCAUUGUGUUAUUAACUAGUUGUUUUGGAGUUUCAAUUGUGUAAUUGCUUUAUAGGAUCUGUGAGCUUUGUACUUUGGUAUCUUUUUCUGAUGGUGAGUAUAGUACUUUCAUUUCCAUAUUUAGAACGCCUUUGAGCAUGUAUUGUAGGAUCUGUCUAGUGGUGACAAAUUCUCUUAGUGUUUGCUUGUCUGGGGAAGACUUUAUUUCUUCUUCAUUUAUGAAGCUUAGUAUGGCAGAAUGUAAAAUUCUUGGUUUGCAUUUAUUUAAAGAGGCUAAAAAUAGGCCUCCAAUCUAUUCUUGCUUCUAGGGUUUCUGCUGAGAAGUCCAGUGUUUGAUCAAUUUUCCUUUCUAGGUGAUUUGAGUUUUUGCUGUAGCUGCCUUUAAUAUUUUUUAUUUCUUCAGCAUUCACUUAGCAUAGUCUGAAGACCAUAUGCCUUGGUGAUGUUCAUCUUGUAUAGAAUCCCACAGAUGUUCUCUGAAUUUUUUGUAUCUGGAUGUUCAACUCUCCAGCAAAAUUAAGAAAAUUUUCUUGAGUUAUUUUCAAAUAUGUUUUCCAGUGGCUUACUUUUUCUCUUUCAGGAAUGCUAAUAAGUCAUAGGUUUUAUUGCUUUAGAUAAUUCAUAUUUCUCACCAGAGAAAUAUGGUUUCUCUGGCUUUGGUUUUCAAAAUUAUUUUUACUUUUGACAAAUUAGUUUCAAUGAUCAGUCUUCAAGCUCUGAAAUUCUUUCUUCUGCUGGUGUAAUCCAUUGUUAAAGCUUUCAACUAUAUUUUCAAAUGUCUUAAGUAGGCUUUUUAUUUCAAGAAGUCCUUUUGCAUUUUUUAAAAUAUAUUUAUCUUUCCCAUCAUUUCCUGGAUUGUUUUUAUAGUUUCUUGUGUUGGUUUUCAACCUUGUCUUCAAUCUCAUUUAAUUUCCUUGCAAUUUAUACUUUGAACUCUUUGUCAGUUCUCAGUUUCCAUUUUGGUUAGGGUAUAUUUCUAGAGAGCUAAUAUGAUCCUUUAGUCAUGUCACAACAUUCAGAUUUUUUCAUGAUGCCAGAAUUCUUAUGCUGAUUCUUUCUCAUCUGGAGCAGCUGCUCACAGAAAACCACUCUUAUUUUUGAAUUUAUUUUUGUUCAGAUGGGAUUUUUUUUUUCUUAUUUGUUUUUUCUUUCUCCAUCCCUCCCUUUCCCUAGGGAGUGACUGUGGAGUACGUUGUGUUGCUAAAGCUUUGCUUCUAUAGCCCACGCACUUCCAUUGGCCAGGCUUUAUAUUUGGCUGUGCAGUUCAACCUGCAGGCCAGUAGAUGGCGCUGACGGGUAAGAGCCAGCUUGUGGCACAGCAGAUGGGUAGGUACUUGGUCUUUGUUUACUGGGAGGUGCUCUCUGUUGCUUCUGGUGAUGGGCUGGACAGUGAAGUGCCUGGUGCCCUGAGUUUUCUGUUCAGCAGGGAGUGGGUAGAGCUGGGCAGAGCUGGACCCCCUGGCUUGCCCACAAAUACUCCAAUGCCAAGUAUAGGCACCAAGCCUUGUGGAGAUGGCUUUGGGAGCUCCCAGUGACAUGUGCUGAGGUCUCUACAUCGGGUGAAGGGGCUGCACUAGCUCCAUGCGCUAGAUAGGCAGGAAAGUGAUCUAUUCCCAAUCACACCAGUCCUGGAACUCGUGACUCUCAGUUCAGAUCCUCACUGUUGUCUACAUCCAAGCCACAGUGGGUUGAGAGCUGUGGAACACACCUGUCUUGAGACUCUCCACAGGAGUGGUUUUGGGGCAGAACCUUUUCAGCGUAUGGCUCUCUUUCCUUUGAUGUGGUAAUGAUGUUGCAUUGUCAGGGCCAGGGGAUACACUCUGCCUUUCAGCCCCUGUGGAUGGGUAUCAGUUGUGGUGGUGUCAACUGGUUGGGCUGGCCUGACCUCAGGCCCUGGGAAAAGUGGUUAGGUGCCAGCACUGUUGGAUUGGUCUACAUAGCGCCCCAGUUCUCAGGCCCUUAGACGGCCUACCGGACAGAGAGUAUGGGUCCUUAAAACCCAUUUAUGCCUAGUGUUCCAUUACUGGAAUACUAAGCAUGUGGGACUUAUUUAUAUCCCACUGCUCAAGAUCAUCGCCAAGGUCUGAUUGGAAAAAUUUAAAAAAUUGCAACCUCAGGCAUAAAUGGGUUAAGGGGCUGGACUGGGGUUGGGGCACCCUAGACUUCAGGAGCUGGCUGUGAUGGGGAAGGGGCUGGCUGGUCCCUGAGAGGCUGAUAGAACCCUCAGGCAGGGGACAGACAGAAGGCCCAGGUGGUGGGAGCCUGAGGGCAGCACAGGCCUGUGGGGACUGGGCUCUCAGAAGAGCUGUGGUUGCAGCGGAAAUGCUCAGGCAGGAGCCAGGUGGCCUUUCACUGGGGGAAGGGAGGGCCCCUCAGGGCACUGGAGAUUGGCACCUGGGGGGCACAUGACCUACUCACACUUUGCUCCUGCAGAAGCAGUUCUGGAUUUUGUUCUUGGGGUCAUGCAGAGGUCCCAGGCCUCCUCACUCUCUCCCUGGCCUGGGAGUCGGGGUCUCAGAGAAACACCUAGCCAAGGCCAGUGUUUCUGCAGGGGUGGGUCAACUGUACAGGGGGCCUGCAACAGGUAAGCCCCAUUUCGCAGGAAGCAGCCGAGGCCGGGAGUAGUGUGGUGUGUGGUCUGGCAGCUCCUCUGCACAGCAGCUGUGCUGUCUCUCCUGGGGGUGUGCAAAGAGCCUCGCCUCCCUCCUUGGCAUGGCAGCUGGCACCAGGCUGACUGUGGGAUUCCAGGUGGGCUUGAGCGGUGCCUCUGCAAAGUUUCUGGGUGGCUCUGUGUUCAGCUGGAGGCCUAAGGAGGAUUAUGGGGGCUCUCCUGUGGCUAGGAUUGUAAAAGUCUGUGAUGGAGAGGUGGGUCCCGGAGCCUCUCACCUCAUUCACCCCUUCCUUGGAGUAAGAGCCUCUCUUCACUCCACACCGUCCCAGCUCCGCAGGCUGCCUGGCUCCACUGUUCCCUGCUUUCCUUGGGUCCCAUUGGUUCUCUGGUGAAUCCGAGCAUGCUCUCUUAAGAUGAUCUAUGUGAAGUGUGAGGAUUUACUUGCCAUUGUGGUUCCUGUCUGUGAGAGAGGCAUGGGCUUGCUGCUUCUAGUCAGCCAUUUUGAACUAAAACCUCAACAACUUUUUUGAUUCCUCAUUUGAGUGAAAUCGCAUGGUAGUUGUCUUUCUGUGCCUGGCUUAUCUCACUUAACGUAACUUCCUCUAGGUUCAUCCAUGUUCUCACAAGUGACAGAAUUAUCCUUUUUUAAAAGCUGAAUAGUAUUCCAUUAUACAUAAAUGUAUGUGUGUGUGUGUAUAUAUAUGUGUGUGUAUAUAUAUAUGUGUGUGUGUGUGUGUGUGUGUAUAUAUAUAUAUAUAUCUCAAUCUCACAUGUGCUCUAUCCACUCAUCCACUGAUGGACACUUAGAUUGAUGCCAUAUCAUGAUUAUUGUGAAUACUGCUGCAAAGAACAUGAGAGUGCACAUGUUUUAUUGACAUACCAAUUUCAUUUCCUUUUGAUAUAUACUGUUGAAGUCAAAUAAACUAUAGAGAUGAAUCUCUGACAUGAACAUGUUUUGUUUAGGAAAAAUUGCAAUUGGGAAGAUAUACACAGACUGGGUGGUCUUUGGUGUAUCCAAAGAACAAAGAGAAGGUCGGAAGUUUUAUAACAAGGAGAAAUGUUAUGUAUUUGUUUUUCAAGAAAGUUCGUGGCACUUGUAAAGUUCUGGGGAGCAAGAAAGCUCUGAUUGGUGAGUGGUGGUGAUGGUAAAACUAGUCCUAGAUUUGCAGCAGGUUGUGUCAGUAGCUAUUAGAUAAAACUGGCUUCAGGUUACUACAGGCAAUUUCACAGCCAGGCUUGCAAAUAAUUAUAUUCUUGGAGCGGUGUUAUGUACCCUGAGUGUUUUCCCCCUCUGGCUUCUCAACUCUGUUUUCAUUCAGUAGAAUGACCCAAUUUUUAUAAUCAACUUUCACAAUACUUGGAAGUGAGACAACUGGAUCCUAUGGUAGUUCUAUUCUUAUUUUUUUUAGGAAUGUCACUACUGUUUUACAAAGUGGCUGUAUUAAUUUACAUUUCUGCCAACAAAGUACAGGGAUUCCUUUUUCUCGGCAUUCUCGCCAAUACUAAUUUUUUGUCUUUUUGAUAAUAGCGAUUCUAACAAGUGUGAGGUAGUGUCUCACUGUGGUUUUAAUUUUCAUUUUCCCGAUGACUAGUGAUGUUGAACAUUUUUUCAUAUACCUGUUGGCCAUUUUUAUGUCUAUUGGGUCCUUUGCCGAUUUUUGUUUGUUUUAUGUUGAGACAUAUAUCCAUGUGUUUACAUAUGUGAGACAGGGUCUUGUUCUGUCAACCAGGCUGCACUGCAGUGGCACAAUCCUGGCUCACUGCAGUCUUGACCUCCCAGGCUCAAGUGAUCCUUCCACCUCAGCUUCCUGAGAAGCUGGGACCACAGUCGUGCUCCACCACACCCAGCUAAUAUUUUUUUCUUUCUUUUUUUGAAAAGACAGUUUCUCAUCAUUUUGCUCAGUCUGGUGUCAGACUCCUGGGCUCAACAGAUCCUGCUGUUUUGCCCUCCUAAAGUGCUGGGAUUACAGAUGUGAGCCACUGCAGCUGGUCCCUUUGCCUGUUUUUUAAUAAAGUUAUUUGGUUGUUUUUUGUUUGUUUUUUGCUAUUGAGUUGAGUUCUUCAUAUAUUUUGGAAAUUAACCCUUUAUCAAAUAUUCGGCUUGCAAAUAUUUUCUCCUAUUCUGUAGGUUGUCUCUUCUGUUAACUGUUUCCUUUGCUGUGAAGAAGCUUUUUAGCUUGAUAUAAUCCUAUUUGUCUAUUUUUGUUUCUGCUGCCUGUGCUUUUGGUGUCAUAUCCAAAAUAUCAUUACCCACACCAAUGUCAAGAAGCUUUUCUCCUAUGUUCUAGUCAUUUUGCAUUUCCAGGUCUUAUAUUUGAGUAAUUUAUUUUGAGUUUAUUAUUGUAUAUGGUAUAAUCCAAUUUUAUUCUUUUCCAUAUUGAUAUACAGUUUUACCAAUACCAUUUAUUGAAGAAGAGACUAUGUUUUCCCCAUUGUGUAUUCUUAAUACCUUUGUUGAAGAUUGGCUGUAAACAUAUGGAUAUAUUUCUGGACUGUCUAUUCUGUUCCAUUGUUCUAUGUUUCUGUUUUUCUGCCAGUACCAUGUUGUUUUAAUUACCGUAGCUUUCUAAUAUAUUUUUGAGAUCAGGUAGUGUGAUGCCUUCAACUUUGUUUUUUGUUUUGUUUCAUUUCUAACUUCUAAACAAUAUGGAAGCUUCCAGCUUUUUUCUUCUCACUCAUGAUUGCUUUGGCUAUUUGGUGUUAUUUUGUGGCUUCAUACCAAUUGUAAGAUUAUUUUUACUUUUUCUGUGAAGAAUGACAUUGGAAUUUUGAUAGGAAUUGCAUUCAAACUGUAGAUUACUUUUGAUUAUGUGGCCAUUUUAACAAUAUUGAUUCUUCCAAUUCAUAAAUAUAUUUUUUCAUUUACUUAUAUCAUCUUCAAUUUUUUGUCAGUGUUUUCACCUCCUUGGUUAAAUUUAUUAUUUUAUUUUUGAUGCUAUUGUAAAUUGAAUUGUUUAUUUCUGUUUUUAGGUACUUUCUUGUUAGUAUAUAUAGUUGCUACUGAUUUUUGUAUGUAGAUUUUGUAUCUUGCAACUUCACUGAAUUUGUUAGUUUUAACAGUUUUUUGGUGGCAUGUUUAGGGUUUUCUAUAUACAAGAUCAUAUCAUCAGCAAACAUAAACAAUUUCUUUCUUCUCUCCUCUUUGGAUGCCAUUUAUUUCUUUUUCUUACCUAAUUGCUCUUAGUAGUAUUUCCAGUAUUAGAUUGAAUGGAAGUGAUACAAAUGGGCACCCUGUCUUGUUCCUGAUCUUAGAUGAAAAGCUUUCCACUUUUCACAGUUGAGUGUCAUGUUAGCUGUGGGUUUGUCGUAUAUGGUUGUUACUUGUUGAGAGUUUUUAUCAUGAAAUGAUGUUGAAUUUUGUCA